rnacentral:lncRNA from 1 species
UGUGAGUAAAUCAUUUGCAGGAACUAGCUACUAUAGAUGCAUUUUAUGUUCCUAAACCUAACCAUAUCAGAAACAACACAUUGGUUAAACGUGUCCAUAUCAGAAAGAACACAUUGGUGUCUCAAAGUACAGAUAAGAACAACCAAAUAUCAAUAGACAAGAAAGACCAUGAAAACUCAAUCAUCAUAAAAACAGAAUGACAUAUACUAAGCUCAGAGAACAAGGUAAGUAGGUAGUAGAAGCAAAGAACUACCAAAUCCUUUAACAAUUAACUAAGGGGAUCGAGUUUACCUUAUUAUACAGUGAUAUAAUGUCGAUGAAGCUGCCUCUUCUUCCUUCCUUUUAGGCAGAACGUUACCUGUUUGUCCAACUCAAUAGUCACAACAAUUAGAAAUGUUAGAAAAUCGUAAGACAAACAAAACAUACAAUUAUAUAAACCUAUGUCCAAACUUUGACACAUGCAAUAUGAUUUACACAAACAUUAAUUUCGAAGAUGGAGACAACAACACAUUUCUGAAAUACGUUUUUACCACUAAUCGAUUGAAAAUCGUGAAAAAGAAAAACAAAGACAACCCUAAUCGAUUGAAAAACCUUUAUUUCAUAACCUCUCUUAACCCUAUUCGAUUCAAAUAUUUCAUAACCUCCAUAACCCUAAUCGAUUGUGUUAACCCUAACAAUCGUUCUGUAAACCCACCCACAACCAUAGUUCAUCAAUAGAUUUACCUCUUAAAACUAAAAUCCCCAAUUUUCUAACCUAAAACUGAAAUCGGAUUGGGAUUUCGAAGACCUACCUGAGGUGCUCGAUCCAGUUUUCGUGACAGCUUUUCGUCUUCCUUGGCCCAAUCUUUCUACCGGAGACGAUGUCGAGGCUAGCCGGAAAAUCGUCGCGAAAACAACAAUCGCCUCUUCGUUCGCCCACACCCACCCGAACUCGAGAGAAAAAGAGACAGAGAGAGAAAGAG